CAAGAUGGUGGAUGAGGCUACCCGGCAUGCUGUGUCUGAGAUCCCGGUGCUGAAGAUGAAUGCUGGACCCCAAGAUCGGGAUUUGUGGAUGCAGAAACUGAAGGAAGAAUAUCAAUCCCUUAUUCGGUAUGUGGAAAAUGACAAGAAUGCCGACAAUGACUGGUUCCGACUGGAGUCCAGCAAGGAAGGGACUCGGUGGUUUGGAAAAUGCUGGUACAUCCAUGACCUCCUCAAAUAUGAGUUUGACAUCGAGUUUGACAUUCCUGUCACCUAUCCCACCACUGCUCCAGAAAUUGCAGUCCCUGAGCUGGGUGGAAGGCAGCAAAGAUGUACAGGGGUGGCAAAAUAUGCCUGACAGAUCACUUCAAACCUUUGUGGACCAGGAACAUGCCCAAGUUUGGAUUAGCUCAUCUUAUGGCUCUGGGGCUGGGCCCAGGGCUGGCAGUGAAAAUCCCUGAUCUGAUUCAGAAGGGCGUGAUCCAGCACAAAGAGAAAUGCAGCCAAUGAAGGACCAAGCCACUGAGGCAGGGCAGAGGGGC